rnacentral:lncRNA from 1 species
CGUCUGUUGGAACUUUUAAGAUUUUUUUCUUAGUACCGUUUUGUUUUUUAUAAAGGGACAUAACACCAUUACUAACCGUGUAUGAAAUAAGCCCCGCCCCCUUCUUAUCUAAUAUGGAAUAUAAAGGGACGUAACUCCACUACUAACCGUGUAUGAGAUAAGCCCCGCCUCCCUACUAACCUAAUAUCAAAUAUACACGGUUUGCACGCGGAC